GCGGACCUUAUAGAGAACAUUUGACAGUGUCGUUUCCCGUGUAAAACAAUGACUUGCAAAAUGGAAGCAGCGAAGAAAAGAAAGAUGAAUUGGUCGGCGAAUGAGAUUAACGCGUUAGUAGACGGUUUCGUUGAGUAUCAAGAGGUGUUAAAAGGAAAGUUGUCGAAUCAAUUGACAAGUAAAGUAAAGCUCGAGCUUUACGAAAACCUUACACUUACAGAAAGUAUCAACAGCCAGUCCCUCACGCAAAGGUCAGUGGAGGAAGUAAAGCUGUCUGACAUCAAAACAGAUGUAAGACAGCAAGAAAGAAAAAGAUUAAGAGAAGCUCUGGCUACAGGGGGAGGUCCAGCCAUCGCUGAUCUAAAAGAUUGACAGGAAAAGCUACUGAGUGCACUUCCCAAGGUCUCCAUAGAAGGUUUUCCAGGAAUUGAUAACUUCAAAGUUCAUACGACCUUUAAUGCAGAAGACAAAGAAGUUUCUGAAGGUAUUUGCAAAUACUUUAAGGUUUAUCUCCCACUAUAUAUUUCCUUUCUUCAACCUCCUUAAUAU